rnacentral:rRNA from 1 species
GAACGGCCUUAUGAGGGCCUAACUGUCUCCCCUGGCUAUUCAAUGAACCUGAUCUAUCAGUACAAAAGCUGAAAUAAGCCCAUAAGACGAGAAGACCCCGUGGAGCUUGAGGCCCACCACUAACCCCCCUAGUGCCUCCCUUUAGUUGGGGCGACUGCGGAAUAAAACAAAACUUCCACGCCACUCGACCACUACAGCGGUCAACACACCAACGUACUAGCAUUUGACCCAGUAUGACUGACUAACGAACUAAGUUACCCCGGGGAUAACAGCGCCAUCCUCUUUUAGAGCCCCUAUCGCUAAGAGGGUUUACGACCUCGAUGUUGGAUCAGGACCCCCCAGUGGUGCAGCCGCUACUAACGGUUCGUUUGUUCAACGAUUAAAGUCCUACGUGAUCUG